UGAGCAUUUGAAUGCGAAGUUAAAGCAAGCACUGACACUUCCGUCGCUCAAUCUUUCUGCUGAUUUUAAAGUGACGUUGAAAGUUAUCCAUUCCGAGGUCCUCUCCUUGCUGGCCAAGAAUGUUGAACUGAAGGCCAAAAGUACUCAAUAUCUUCGCGCCGUAUCUGAAAAAGAGUCUUUGCGUCAGGAGAUCAACAAAGCUG
rnacentral:lncRNA from 1 species